rnacentral:rRNA from 1 species
CAGCCGCCGCGGGAAUACAGAGGGUGCGAGCGUUAAUCGGAUUUACUGGGCGUAAAGCGUGCGUAGGCGGCUUCUUAAGUCGGAUGUGAAAUCCCUGAGCUUAACUUAGGAAUUGCAUUCGAUACUGGGAAGCUAGAGUAUGGGAGAGGAUGGUAGAAUUCCAGGUGUAGCGGUGAAAUGCGUAGAGAUCUGGAGGAAUACCGAUGGCGAAGGCAGCCAUCUGGCCUAAUACUGACGCUGAGGUACGAAAGCAUGGGGAGCAAACAGGAUUAGAUACCCGAGUAGUCCCUGUCUCUUAUAA